rnacentral:rRNA from 1 species
CAGCAGCCGCGGUAACACCGGCGGCCCGAGUGGUGGCCACUAUUAUUGGGUCUAAAGGGUCCGUAGCCGGUUUGGUCAGUCUUCCGGGAAAUCUGACGGCUCAACCGUUAGGCUUUCGGGGGAUACUACCAGGCUUGGGACCGGGAGAGGUAAGAGGUACUACGGGGGUAGGAGUGAAAUCUUGUAAUCCCUGUGGGACCACCAGUGGCGAAGGCGUCUUACCAGAACGGGUCCGACGGUGAGGGACGAAAGCUGGGGGCACGAACCGGAUUAGAUACCCGGGUAGUCCCAGCUGUAAACUAUGCUCGCUAGGUGUCAGGGACGGUGCGACCGUUUCUGGUGCCGCAGGGAAGCCGUGAAGCGAGCCACCUGGGAAGUACGGUCGCAAGGCUGAAACUUAAAGGAAUUGGCGGGGGAGCACUACAACGGGUGGAGCCUGCGGUUUAAUUGGACUCAACGCCGGAAAACUCACCGGGGGCGACAGCAAUAUGUAGGUCAAGCUAAAGACUUUACCAGAAUCGCUGAGAGGAGGUGCAUGGCC